rnacentral:rRNA from 1 species
AGUUCUCCCUGAGACUAUAAGUCUCCUGAAGGAACGUUGAAGACGACGACGUUGAUAGGCCGGGUGUGUAAGCGCAGCGAUGCGUUGAGCUAACCGGUACUAAUGAACCGUGAGGCUUAACCUU